rnacentral:lncRNA from 1 species
CAGUGUCCAAAUACAAAAGUAUUGACUACUGUCCCUGAUGUGACGAGCAGGAUCUAUUGAAGCCGAACACAUCAUCUUUCAGUUCCAGGUAGGAGUGCAGUAAGAAGAGUUUUCUUACAGGCAUGAUCGCUGUGAUGGAUAAGUGUGUCUUGGACUCUAAUGAAUGAACCAGCGACUUAGUCACCAGCCGCCUACACUAAUAAGGUGAGGGUGUGAUGCUGGUUUGGGCAGGGAAGGUCUUUGGUCUCUUUAUAGAUUUUAGAAUGCUAAAAUAAAAUGACCUGUGGGAUCCUGAAACCAAAAGAGGACAUCAGUGGGAAAACACAUGGAAUCGGGGGUCUGUUCCUAGAGAUGCUUCACGGAACUCUAGACCAUGUUAAUGUUUGUUUUGAACCACAUGUCUUGGGUAACACUGGGGGAUGUUGGAUUGGGGGGAUACGGGAUCUCUCUGUACUGUCUUUGCAACUUUUUCCGUAAAUCUAAGAUGAUCCACAAAUAAAAGCUUUAUUGAAAAAUAU